rnacentral:rRNA from 1 species
AGAGUUUGAUCCUGGCUCAGAUUGAACGCUGGCGGCAGGCCUAACACAUGCAAGUCGAGCGGUAGAGAGAAGCUUGCUUCUCUUGAGAGCGGCGGACGGGUGAGUAAUGCCUAGGAAUCUGCCUGGUAGUGGGGGAUAACGUUCGGAAACGGACGCUAAUACCGCAUACGUCCUACGGGAGAAAGCAGGGGACCUUCGGGCCUUGCGCUAUCAGAUGAGCCUAGGUCGGAUUAGCUAGUUGGUGAGGUAAUGGCUCACCAAGGCGACGAUCCGUAACUGGUCUGAGAGGAUGAUCAGUCACACUGGAACUGAGACACGGUCCAGACUCCUACGGGAGGCAGCAGUGGGGAAUAUUGGACAAUGGGCGAAAGCCUGAUCCAGCCAUGCCGCGUGUGUGAAGAAGGUCUUCGGAUUGUAAAGCACUUUAAGUUGGGAGGAAGGGCAGUUACCUAAUACGUGAUUGUUUUGACGUUACCGACAGAAUAAGCACCGGCUAACUCUGUGCCAGCAGCCGCGGUAAUACAGAGGGUGCAAGCGUUAAUCGGAAUUACUGGGCGUAAAGCGCGCGUAGGUGGUUUGUUAAGUUGGAUGUGAAAUCCCCGGGCUCAACCUGGGAACUGCAUUCAAACUGACUGACUAGAGUAUGGUAGAGGGUGGUGGAAUUUCCUGUGUAACGGUGAAAUGCGUANAUAUAGGAANGAACAC